CCAAUACGUACGCCAGACUCCUCGUAACCAUGCGACCGGUAAAGUAUAGGUGCCUGUUUCGUUCAAGAUUCAUCCGCAUAAUUAUGAGACUUGUUGAUCUGUUAUCAGCAUGAGGGUGACGAUAUCCACGUAAAGAGGCUCCGGAAUGUGGUUGCUCGGUCCACAAAUUUGGGCCCAGUAUGUGCAGAUAGUAUAAUACAAAGCCCCUGGAAGCAGCUAAAAAUAGAUUUACU
rnacentral:lncRNA from 1 species